rnacentral:piRNA from 1 species
UGUGCUAAACUGAAAAUGAACUACAAAACCU